GGGGUGCCCGAGCGGUCUAAGGGGGUGGGCUCGAGACCCACUGGGCUUUGCGCCCGCGCGGGUUCAAAUCCCGCCCCCGGCGCCA
rnacentral:tRNA from 1 species